GACGAACGCUGGCGGCGUGCUUAACACAUGCAAGUCGAGCGAUGAAGUUUCUUCGGAAAUGGAUUAGCGGCGAACGGGUGAGGAACACGUGAAGAAUCUGCCCUCCACUUUGGGAUAACACCGGGAAACCGGUGCUAAUACCGAAUAUUGAAACAUAAGUGGCAUCACUGAGUUUUGAAAGAAUUUCGGUGGAGGAUGACUUCGCGGCCUAUCAGCUAGUUGGUGAGGUAAUGGCUCACCAAGGCAACGACGGGUAGCCGGCCUGAGAGGGCGACCGGCCACACUGGGACUGAGACACGGCCCAGACUCCUACGGGAGGCAGCAGUGGGGAAUAUUGGGCAAUGGAGGAAACUCUGACCCAGCGACGCCGCGUGCGGGAUGAAGGCCUUCGGGUUGUAAACCGCUUUCAGUAGGGAAGAAGCGAAAGUGACGGUACCUACAAAAGAAGCACCGGCUAACUAUGUGCCAGCAGCCGCGGUAA
rnacentral:rRNA from 1 species